AACGUAGGUACCGAGCGUUAUCCGGAUUUACUGGGCGUAAAGCGCGUUCAGGCGGCUCAGCAAGUCGGGCAUGAAAUCUCUCGGCUCAACCGGGAGGGGCUGUCCGAAACUGCUGGGCUUGAGGGCAGUAGAGGGUGGUGGAAUUCCGGGUGUAGUGGUGAAAUGCGUAGAUAUCCGGAGGAACACCAGUGGCGAAGGCGAGUCCCUGGACAACACCUGACACUGAGGCACGAAAGCUAGGGGAGCAAACAGG
rnacentral:rRNA from 1 species